ACGCAACCUGAGCUCAGUCGUGA
rnacentral:rRNA from 1 species